rnacentral:siRNA from 1 species
CCAACACAAAUCUCACACUCUCCU